AGAUUAACAGUGUGUAAGCAAGAGAGAUAUUCUUUCACUGUCAGGCUGUGUUUUGUGGCUACAAAGAAAGCAUCAAUCACUUUAUUACUUAUCUUGAAAGGUAAUCUUAUAAGGAAUUUUAAAGGAAUCAUAAAUCUAAACAUGGGGUUGGAGGACAUACGGUGGACAUUUCCUGCACAUUCUAUCAUCACUCACACAUGGGCCAGAGGAAGGCUUUGCCAUAUCUCUGAGCCUCACCCCAGAGAGCCUCACCAUUUUCUCCAUAGGUCUGAGGCUCUGGGGUCCGUGACAUGGCUGUACCCACAUCAACAGCAUGUUCAUUGACGACUUCACUCACCCAGGGCUUUCUCUGCUCUCUACAAAGAACUGUUGGCGAGACAAUGCUGUUUACUUCUAGGGUAUCCAGAUAUCCUCUAGACAGACACUGAAACAACCUCCAUAAUUCAGACUAUAAUAAACUGAACUGAAUUAUUAAGACCCUAUGGGUAUUCCAUGCACCAUACAAUAUGCAGAAUGUGGGGUGUGCUGGAAAGGGUCUCAGAGGAAGUCAACUUCAUCACCUCAUUGGCAGACUAGCUUUAGCUGCCUAAUGCUACACAUACUUUAUCUCUAUCUCUAUAAGGAUCUGUUCUUAGGGGUCAUUUAAUAGUCCAGUAAAUUAGGGGCAUGAAUGUGUCUGGAGGGAAACAAACUGGUAGGAUUCUGACUGUAUUGGGCUUAACUGAUCUUUUAAAUUUUUACCACUCAAGGAGAAGUUUAAGAAAUUAAUUGAGACACUCAUUUUUUUUUCUGGUACAAUGUUUCUAAAUACCGUUUCAUAAUCAUCUCAUAUGUUUUUAUUUAUUCAAAUCAGAUAUUUUCUGAUUUUUAUUGUACUCUUUCUUUGGCCCAUUGGUUUAAAUGUCACAGGGGAUAAUCUAGUACCUUCCUCCAGGGUUGUUGUGAGACACAAAGGGCACUGUACUACUGUAGGAAUGAAAUUACUGUGGACAGUGCCUGGCAUCACAAUAAUAAUCUGUGUAUCAGCUAUUAUUUUCAUCACCAGAUUGCCAUUGUUUUUCUACAUUCUGCUUAGAGAAGAAACCUGAAAUUCCUCUUUCUCUGCCACCAACUCUGGGAUGCAUAAGUAAUCAUUGCUUAUUUUUCAUGCUCCAUUGUUACUACAUGUGAGAGAUCAGAAUUGAUGGAGACCCCAGGCUUUCUCAUAUUGCUACCAUACAAUCAAUCUCUGAUUUACCAGACUUUGAAUAAGAGAGAACCUCUAUUUGUCUUUUGCAACUUCUGCUAUCUUUGGAAGUCAUGCCUUUUAGUACUGUGUGGUCAGAACAAGACGAUAAACAAGAUCAUGGUAGUUUAUGACAUUUGCACCAAAGCACCCGGUUGCCUCUGUGAUUGUCUUUUUCACCAGAAGAGUUGACUUUUGCUGUCUCUGAACACAUUCCUCAUCCCAGCCAGGUCCUGUCGUGGGCUUCCCUUCUUGGUGAGUCUCUUUUACCUGUAAAGGCUUUUCUUUUUAAGUGUCAUUUCUAAGGGCCUUCCCCAUGCCACCAUUUUAUUUUAUUAGUUUUGCAUGUGCACAGAGAUGUGCAUGGAAGCCAGAGGAGAUAACUAUUUUAUCAUUCUCUGUCUUGUUUCCUUGAGACAGGGUUUCUUACUGAACAUGGAGCUAGAAUGGUGGCCAGCAAGCCUCAGCGAUCCUCCUGUUUUUGUGGCCCUCUUUCCCCCAUAGACCCAAUGCAGCACUAGGGAAUACAGGCAACAUGGCCACAUGUGGCUUUUUUACAUGGGUGCUGGGCAUUUCAACUAAGGUCUUUAUGAUUGUACAGCAAGUGAUCUUACCUGAUGAUCCAUCUUCCCAACCUCUCCUCCCUCCUCCUUCCUUAACAGUAUAAAACAUCAAGCAGGACUAAAUGUACUGUUGCCAAAUUAACAAAAUCAAAGCUAAUAUUAAAUGAAAGAUUUUAAAUUUCAAGCAGAGACUAACACACAGAAAAUCCUUCUCAACGUUGACUAAGGAUGCUACAUGAAAAGGAGAGUAUUGUCCACCAGUAGAGGAGAGGAUGGGAUUUCAAGGGAGCCAGCCGAGCCUGAAAGACUCUUUCAGCCUUUAACACAGCCCCACUGUUCCUGCCUGGACAUGAAUGUUAGCCUGAUGAUGGCUCCUUUUGACCUUGUCAUAUUUAAUGGCCAACACCUCACAUUUUGUUCAAAGCUAUCCUGUUCACUUUUCAAAAGGGUUUAAUUUACUUAUUACUCACAUUUAGAUGUAACAAUUCUCUUUGUGUGAGUAACCAUGAAAGCUGAUGUUUCUUGUUACCAGCAGUGGAUUAUUUAAAGUAAGUAUUCAUGAUAAUAAAACCACUAAUACUCUAUAGUUAAAUAUAACUUAGUUCUGUUGUCAUGAAUUUUUCCUUUAACACUUAGCCCUAUAAAGACAAAUUUAUAUCCAAAUACCUAACCUAUUCCUCGUAUAAAUGUUCUAAUCAAUGUCUUUUGUUUAUUAAUUAGCAACAGUAACACUAAAUAAUUUUUUGUUUUAAAAAAUAGUAAAACAGUGUGGGAAGUCCUCCUUUACCAUGCUGCUAGGUAGCUCUGUUUCUUCCAAUCCCAUAUGCUUGCCCCGUGCCUCUGGGUCUCCCCUCUUCCACAGUUCUAUUCCUUCAGAUCUCAAAGGCUCAAAGGCAUGGGUAUUCCUGGACUACUCUUCCCUGAAUCAGUAAGUAGGUCCUGCUGUUCCCUACCCCAUAGCCUUACCUUCUCUUCAGUCUUAAGUCCCCUGAUCUGGAAACAUCAGCUAUGCUCUGCUUCUUCCCACCCCAUUGACAAUCUAUCUCCUCUUGAAUAUUGCCUCUUCAAGUGAAUGGGUAGAUAUUGCUCUGCCACACACUAUAGGCCUACCAGCUCUGUCAGGAUCUAACCUCCAAGUGCUGCCAGAUCUGGCUCUUCCAGGAUCCCUAGCCCUCAGACUAGGCCUGCUCCUUCCUACCCUGAAAGCUUCCCAUCGGGCUAGGAUCUUGCUUUCUAGAUAUUCUAGGUAGGCCUCCCUCUUCUGACCCCACAGGCCUUCUGACUACAUACCUAGCUUCCCAAGAUCUCCUGUCCCCAACCACUGAUUGACCAGAGCUCACUCUAGACUUAGAGAGCUACACCAGAAGGCAGCAGGAGAGAGGACCAACAAGGAAUAUCGUGACUUUUGAGUAGUGUCUGCUUGCCCAGGCAUAGCAGAGUCUCAAAUUAAGAUUAGAGAUAGAGCCCGCUGACCUCAAUACAAGUUCCACAAAAGAAAUGUCUCAGCCUUUUUACAACUUCAUCCUCUCCUGAAUAUGCAUACAUCUACGUGGAAAUAAAUGAAGAAGAAUGAUAAAGGUUGUUUGAUCAAAAGGGAAGAUGCAAUUUAUCUGUAUUCUGUGCCAUUAUAAGUAUGAACUUUGCCUUUUGAUGAUUACAGGGGGUCACAUCAAAGAUUGCCUGGAAUAGAGACUUUUUAGACUUUUGGACAGCAUCGAGACUAUGAAAGACUAUGAGGACUUUUGAAAUUGGGCUAAGUGUAUUUUCCAUCAUGACAGGACUAUGGGCCUUUGGGGGCCAGGGAGUGGAAUGUAAUGGUUUGAAUGAGAAAAGUGAGAGAGUUGAACACUUGGUUCCAGGUUGGUGGUUCUGUGUGGGGAGACCUGGGGUGUUUGCCUAUAUUGCUCUCCACCUUCUAUCUUUUAGACAGAGUCUUUCACUGAGCUUUGUACUCACUGUUUCAGAUAGACUGACUCACUAGUAUGCCCCCAGAAGCUGCCUGUUUCUACCUCUCUCCUGGCUCUGCUCCAUUGGAAUCUAUGUGGAAGUUGAGGCUCUAAACUCAGAAAGUACUCUGUGUGAUUUUCCUGUUUGAAAGAUCAGAAGGGAGAUGAUAUAAUCUGAACAAAUUCAAAGGUAUUGCUGAUCUCUGAUCAAGCACUUCGCCUCCGAGGAAGCUGACAUAUUCAUGUAUGUGUGUCUCAAAUGAAUACCCGGGAAGGAGAGAGCUGCAGCUACAGUGAUCUUUUAUUUCCUUUCUGUUUGCACAAGAUUCCAUAUCAA